AAUAUUUCAUAGUGGUGCUGCAAAAACUUGUCAUACUAUCGUAGUGUUGCUGCAAAAUCAAAGCAAAACAAAUCAUCCUUUUCAUUCAAUCUUAUCAUGAUUUUGUCGGAGAAAACAUUGAAAGUUGGAGAUAAUACACUUUUCACUCCUUAUAUCUAUGGAGAUGUUGGUAUAAUGUAACGAGGAUUUAUGUAUUAAUUUUGUACAACCAACGUGUCUUUCAUAAUUAUGUCUUUUGAGUUUUUUGAUAAAGGAGUAUGUAACAAUCCUUUUGAUA